rnacentral:rRNA from 1 species
AUGCAUGUCUAAGUACAUACUUUAACACAGUGAAACCGCGAAUGGCUCAUUAAAUCAGUUAUGGUUCCUUAGAUCGUUCUAUCCUACUUGGAUAACUGUGGCAAUUCUAGAGCUAAUACAUGCAACCAAGCUCCGACCUUCGGGGAAGAGCGCUUUUAUUAGAUCAAAACCAAUCGGGUCGCAAGGCCCGUCUCUUUGGUGACUCUGGAUAACUUUGGGCUGAUCGCACGGCCUCGAGCCGGCGACGUAUCUUUCAAAUGUCUGCCCUAUCAAGUUUCGAAGGUACGUGAUAUGCCUACCUUGCUUGUAACGGGUAACGGGGAAUCAGGGUUCGAUUCCGGAGAGGGAGCAUUAGAAACGGCUACCACA